rnacentral:rRNA from 1 species
AUGCAUAAGCUCGUAAAUGUUCAUUAUUUGGACAAGACGACAUUUAUGCUUGGAAAUGACGAUGAAGGGGAAGAGGCUAUGGUUCUUGACACAAGUCCAAGCUUUGAUGAUCUUGUAGUUAAAGUGAGAAGCGUCUUACAUUGGAAUGACCCAAAUGCCGAGGUUAAGCUUAUUGGGAGGUAUGACGUUGGAUUGGGAGUAAAGUCCCGAUUAAAGAGUAUGCCCAUCACCUCCCAAUUGCAUUGGAAUGUGUACAAGGAAAAAGUAGACGCAUCACAAGACAAGUCUCUUGAGAUCUUUGCCACAAAGGUUAAUCCUCCUCCUCCCUUGCAAAUUGAUCUCAACCGCAAUGCAUCCUCCCCAAUACAUGAUGAUAGUGCCGAGGUGUAUAUCCCCAAUUGUUCUAGCCAACCACCAAGUAGCCAACCC